UUUAUUUGGCCGAAAGUGCUAUGGUAUGGUGGAGGAGAAGAAUGGCUGAUAUGGAGAAGGGUACUUGUAGUAUUCAGAUGUGGGAAGAAUUCAAAAGGGAAUUUAAGAGGUAGUUUUAUCCUGAGAAUGCAACUAAUGAAGCUAGGGCCAAGCUUAGACGGCUUACACAAAAAGGAACCAUACGUGAGUAUGUCAAGGAGUUUUCAGAGAUUCUUCUGGAGAUACCCGACUUCCCAGAUUCAGAAGCACUAUUUUUCUUCAAAGAUGGACUCCAAACUUAGGUGAAGCUUGAGGUUAAAAGACUUGGUGCCUAAGACCUUGCUGCUGCCAUUGCAAUUGCCG
rnacentral:misc_RNA from 1 species